rnacentral:tRNA from 1 species
UCCUCGAUAGCUCAAUGGUAGAGCACGCGGCUGUUAACCGCGGUGUUGUAGGUUCGAGCCCUACUGGGGGAG